ACGCGCCUUGGCGACCGGUCGCUAGGUCGCGUCAGGUCGCGUCGCAGGCAGCCGGCGGUCGCCAAGUCGCGUCAGGUCGCGGCUGGCCAUAGACUUUGCAUUGGGAGCCGUCGCCAAGUCGCGGCUGGUCUGAAGGGUUUUUCUCAAGUAAACAGCAUUUUAAAUCUCCAUGGUAACAUGUGACGAUGUCAAAACUUUAAAUCAUUAUCAACACGAAAAACUUGUGGCUCACGAACAUACAACUUUUGACGGCUUCAUCGGUAAUAAAACCUCAGCAGACGACAAAGGAUUCCAACAAAAACCUUCGACCAACACCUGAACAGAGAGGACAACAUCUCCGACAAACACCUUGGACCAACACCUGAAUAAAGAGGACAUCUACGACAUGGAGACCGUAAGAUUUCAUGACAAUAUUAAUACAAACUUGUGCUACUGUCGAGACUUUCGUGAUGGUUAAGCGAUGCAUCGACAAGAAUUCAAUGUGUGCAUGGGUAUUUACAGUGUUUAUGACUUUAAUGUGACAGGCAUUAUCAAAAUUAACCGAAAAUAAGUGAACAUGGGCGUUUUUUUGUGUGUGUUACUGUCGAGACGUUCGGAUGGUUAUCUUAAAAGUGAUGCAUUUACAUCACAUGAAAGUCCUGCCCACCAUGUCAAAGACUCCAUAUGUGCUUAAGAGCAGAAAAGCUCAUGUUAUUGUGAGAAAUCUCUACAAGAGAUUUUUUAUGUCUUCUGGGCUAGUUAAAGCCGUCAGUCUGAAACUAUUUGACAGUUUCUUUUAUACUAACCAAUGCUAUCAGGUGAAAACUGUAAACACAAGCUAUUUUCACUCUUAUUACAGCGAAAGAAGCGCAUUAAAGCAGUGAAAUGUAGUAUUAAAAUAAGGGACACCUUCAUAACUUUAAAGAAUGUCAGUCAUCAUAAAAUUCAACAAAAUAAACUAAAAAGACAUAAUAGUUAGACCUAUUUAUAAGUGCUCUAAUAGGUCACCAAAAAAAUCCUAUGAAUUACAUUUGAACCUAUUUACAAAGUUACAAAAACAGACGAAAUUAAGUUAAAAGACAUGUCUUACGUACAGCCUUUAAAAUGAAGAGUUCAAUAAUGUUCCACUGAAAUAUGUUUUCAUGGAUCAAGUGUGUGUAUUUUUUUUACCACAAUAUUUAAAAUUUCAAUUGUGGGAAAAAUUCACUAAGUGAACACCCAUGUCCCGUUCCAAGCCUCGCUGUGUAAGUAGGAAACUACACUGACAACAUAGAUAGGCCAUUAGCAUGCCUUCAAAACAACAUACAAAACUUUUAUAGUCUGAAUGAUUUUAAUUACAGAAAUAUGUUUCUGAAUUUGUCUUUUUUAAUUUUAAUUUUCUUUAACUGAAUUAUAUUCAUUAAUUUAUUUCAAAGAUGUGAAACCUUCCCCUGGAUUUUAUAAUUUGUCGGUUUUUCUGUCUCAGGCCCGAAUGGAGCAGUACAGCCUCGUCAAGAACCAGGAUACUACUUCUAGGCUGUUACUGAGAAAGGUCCCACCAAAGGACGGCCCUCCACGUUUCUCCUCCCCCAAAGAAAAACAGGUCUCUCCCUCUCCUCCUUUCUCUCGCUCUUUUUCUGCACGUUUCUCCCUCUUUCUCUCCACCUAUUCUCCCUCUUUCUCUCCCUCUCCUCCUGUCUCUCCCUCUUCCUCUUCCUUUCUCUCCUCCUGUCGCUCCCUCUUUUUCUCCCCCUCCUUCAUUCUCUCCCUCUUUCUCUCCUACUUACUCUCCCUUUUUCUCUGCUACAUUCUCUUCCUCUUUUUCUCCCUCGUCUCCUGUCUCUCCCUCUUUCUCUCCCACUUUCUCUCCUACUUUCUCUCCCUCUUUCUCUCCUCCUGUCUCUCCCUCUUUUUCUCCCUCUCCUCCUGUCUCUCCCUUUUUCUCUCCUACUUUCUCUCCCUCUUUUUCUCCCUCUCCUCCUGUCUCUCCCUCUUUCUCUCCUACUUUCUCUCCUACUUUCUCUCCCUCUUUUUCUCCCUCUCCUCCUGUCUCUCCCUUUUUCUCUCCUACUUUCUCUCCUACUUUCUCUCCCUCUUUUUCUCCCUCUCCUCCUGUCUCUCCCUUUUUCUGUCCUACUUUCUCUCCCUCUUUUUCUCCCUCUCCUCCUGUCUCUCUCCUUUUCUCUCCCUCUUUCUCUCCCUCUUUCUCUCCCUCUCCUCCUGUCUCUCCCUCUUUCUCGUCCUCUAUCUCUCCCUCUCCUUCUGUCUCUCCCUCUUUCUCUCCUUCUCCUCUUGUCUCUCCCUCUUUUUCUUCCUCUUUCUCUCCUACUUUCUCUUCCUCCUUUUCUCCCUCUCCUCCUGUGUCUCCCUCUUUCUCUCCCCCUCCCCCUGUUUCUCACUCCUUUUUUCCCUCUUUCUCUCCUACUGUCUCUCCUCCAGUCACUCCUCCUAUCUCCCUCGCCUUUCUUUCUAUCCAUCUCUCCUUCUAGGUCUUGUCCUUCCUCCCCCUCUUCAGGUUGUUGCUCCCGUACUGCUUGCCCCUCUCUCUGCUCUUCUCUUCAGAGUAGGAGCUGUGGCCAGGCUUGGAGCCUGAGGACCCAGUGGAGCUGUCCAGAUGGAGGAGACCCCCCCCCCCCCCCCAUCUCCCACCCCUUUCUUUCUAUCCAUCUCUCCUUCUAGCUCUCCCUAACCCCCCCCGUCUCUCCCUCUUUUUCUCCCUCUUUCUCUCCCUAACCUUAACCCUAACCCCCCCCCCCCGUCUCUCCCUCUUUUUCUCCCUCUUUCUCUCCCUAACCCUAACCCUAACCCCCAACCCUAACCCCCCCCCCCCCCCCCGUCUCUCCCUCUUUUUCACCCUCUUUCUCUCCUACUGUCUCUCCUCCAGUCCCUCCUCCUAUCUCCCGUCCCUUUCUUUCUAUCCAUCUCUCCUCCUAGCUCUUCUCCUUCCUCCCCCUCUCUCUCCCCCUGUCCUCUCCCCUCUUCCCUCUUCUCUCUACUUUCCUCCCCAACCCAGCAGCGGCAUGGUGGCUGUCUGGCAUGAGUCGGGUCCUGCCCAAGGUUUCUGCCUGUUAAAAGGAAGUUUUUCCUUGCCACUGUUACUCAUGUUAGUUGAGAUGGGCCAAAACCCAUCUCAGGUUGGUUCUUGGUCUUCAAACAAUGAGCGUGGUCUAGACCUGCUCUUGUUCCUUGAAAAGCGUCUUGAGAUGACGACUGUUGUGAAUUGGCGCUAUUUAAAUUUGAUUUGAUUUGAUUUGAUUCUGAUUGUUGCUCUAGUACUGGUUGCCCCUCUCUGUGCUCUUCUCCAGCCAGGUCACCGGGACCUACCCACAGCCCCUUCCCCUGCCUCCCCCCUCUGAUGUCAGAGUACGAGCAGUGGCCAGGCUUGGAGCCUGAGGACCCAGAGGAGCUCUCCAGAUGGAGGAGACCCACAAAGCACUCCACAACCUGGCCCCCCCACCUACAGGAUCUUCUCCACCUCUACAUCCCCUAUUUUGCAUGCAAAUAAAUUGU